GAUGCCCAGACCGCCUUGACCGCCUAGGCACCAGCCUUAAGCAUGCUCGCCCAAACCUCACCGCUUAGCUACACCUCAUAUAGUUUGUCGGCUAGGCCGCCUAGGCGGCAAGGCGGCUGAAUUUUUGUUCACUGGGCAUGAUUGAUAUCUAUAAACCAUAUUGAGGGGGAGUGUCAUGAGAGUGAUUAUUAAAGGCUUCUUUUUUUUUUUUUUAGAAUGUAGUGAUUAUUAAAGGCUUACUCAUCAUUAUAUUGUAUAUAAGCCUCUAAGGAUUUAUUUAUCCUUUUUUAUCACAAAAGGACAUUCUUGUACAGCAAGUAAAUCUUUUAUAGUUAGUAUAAACAUAUGAGCGGUGUCGGAGGUCAGUAUGACCUAACAUCACCUUCUCUAUUUCUUCCUCUCUGUGUUUCCUUCCUUCCUAUUUUCCUCUCACUUGGCACUCGAUCUGUUCGUCUUUUUUCUUUCUUUUCCUCAUCCAUUGAUCAUUUACUGUUGUAUUGUGACUAGUAUUUUUCAGAGACAAUCCAUUGGUAUAAUUUCCUUGGUGGUUUAUGUUGAAGAUAUCAUCAUUAUAGGGAGUGAUCAGGAAGGAAUUAAUAAAUUAAAAGGAUAUCUACAUCAGUAUGUUAAGACAAGAUUUGGGACAGCUAAGUAUGAUAUAGGCCUAUCCCAAAAGGAAAUAUGUAAUAGAUUUGUUGACAAAUUAGGGAUGUUUGGUGCCAAGACAGUUGAUACACCAGUAAAUCCAUGUGCUACAUUAUCAGUGAAGAGUUAUUUGAAGAUCCAGGCAGAUAGAAAAGGCUUGUAGGUAGGCUUAUCCAUAGUUAUCGAGAUCAGCACUGAGAUCAAAUCCCUGAUUGGGAUCGGAAACGUGGGAUCAAGAGAUGCAUGAAAAUCCGUGGUAUAGGGAUCAAGAUCCUUACAUCAGAGAUAUGAUAAAGUAUAUCAAAUUUAUCAGGAUCAAAUGAUAAAGUAUAUCAAAUUGUAGUCCCUGGCAUGAAAGAAGCUCUAGAGUUUAAUGGAAAUUCGGUGUCCUUGUUUUCCCUCGAUUGGAUCCCUUUCACUUAGAUACAAUUUUAGGCAUGCAACUGGUCAUACAACCUCCCUAGUUUCACAGGAAAAAAAAGGUCCGAGGGCAAAGAAAGGGUCACACUACAAGGUAGGUCUCUGCAAUGGUUGAUAUAGUUAAUGAGAGUGCUUAGAGAUAAAGAUCAAUUGCAUAAAUCUUAUAGAUGUUCCAGUAAGUGAAAUGCAAUGGAUUGAGGGUAGGACAUGGAGCAAGUUUAGCUGCUCUCCUUCAUCUACAUGCUCCAUAAUGUAAUAUGGCGGCAGCUUGUAUGUUAUGGUGUUUAUUUUUGUAACUUACAAAUUCAAAGUUCAAACUAUAAGCUUCAAACCCUGGUUGCCAUUGUGGGCAUUGGGACUGUUUCUCAAAUAGUUCACUACACCAAAAGCCAAUUUAGAUUUUAGAAUUUGUAGAUAGAUAUGCUCUUGCACACAGAGAGAGAGAGCGAGAGAGAGAGAGAGAGAUUAUGAGCAAGGGAGUUGGAGAGAGGGUAGGUUGGGGAAGACGGGGUUGGUCAGUGCAUGAGACUCGAAAUGUGCUAAUGAUCUUCGUUAUCAAUGUCAAAGAAACUUAAUUUCACAUUGGUGGAGGCUCGAUUUCACCUACUCAUGAACGCAUGAUAUAGAUAAGAGGGAUCUGGAUCCCAUUAACCUGGGAGCUGUAUCCUCAAUUUUGAGGAUCGAGAUCCCUAAAUUUAAC
rnacentral:lncRNA from 1 species